AGGAGGACGAGUCUGGGAAUCCAUCAGCCAGAGCGAGCCCACCGAAACCGGGGAGGCGGGGGGGGAGAGUACCCGCCGCGAAACAGGACCUGGGACCAUGAUGAAGUUUCGCUUCCGCCGGCCGGGCAACGACCCGCAGCGGGAGAAAGUAAAGCUGGAGCUGUUUGCCUUCAACAAGACAGUGGAACAUGGAUUUCCAAACCAGCCAAGCUCUUUAGCCCAUGAUCCAAAGCUACGGCUCAUGGCCAUUGCAACCAAAUCAGGAGCUGUGAAAAUCUAUGGAACCCCAGGUGUGGAGUUUACAGGGCUACACAAGGAAGCAGCCACUGUGACACAGAUGUACUUUUUACCAGGACAGGGCAGUUUGUUGUCUCUGCUGGAUGAUAAUUCUGUUCACCUGUGGGAAAUUAACCAAAGGAACAGCUAUUCUUACCUGGAGGAGAUUCGCACUUUAACACUUCCUGGACGACUUGGGUUCGACUGUGCUAAUUCUCCCAGCAUUACUAGAAUUACUGUGAUCCUGUUGAAGUCUUGCUGUAGCAUGGCAUGUUUGGGGACUGAAGGUGGAGGUGUGUAUUUCCUGGAUUUACCAUCACUGCAGCUAUUGGAUGGCAAAACUCUGUUUCAGGAUGAGGUUUUGCAGAGUCUUCCAGAUGACUACAAGUGUGGGAAAGCUCUGGGACCAGUUGAAUCGCUCCAGGAACAUCCAACUGAUCCAGAUAAGAUCCUGAUUGGCUAUAGCAGAGGCCUAGUGAUACUUUGGGGCCAGGUGACACGGUCUGUGGAGAAUCUGUAUCUAGGCAACCAGCAGCUCGAGAGCAUAAGCUGGGAAAGGAGCAGCAGGACGUUUGUUACCUCUCACAGUGAUGGAGCCUACAUGGUAUGGCCAGUCAAUAGUUCAAAGUGUAAGACUCAACCCCUCACCUCUUCCAUACCUUACGGUCCAUUCCCUUGCAAAGCUAUCAAUAAAAUACUUUGGAGAACAUCAGAAACAGGGAGCCCUUUUGUAAUCUUUAGUGGUGGGAUGCCAAGAGCCAGCUAUGGGGACAGGCAUUGUAUCACCAUAAUGCAGGGCAAGGUCCAAAUAACAUUGGACUUCACUUCACGAGUGAUAGACUUCUUCACUGUGCAUAACAUUGACCCUGAACAAGAGUACGACAACCCCACAGCUCUUCUAGUUCUGGUUGAGGAAGAACUGGUGGCGGUGGACCUACAGACUCCAGGUUGGCCCACUAUUACUCCACCUUAUCUUGCACCACUUCAUUCCUCUGCCAUCACUUGUUCCUAUCAUAUUUCCAAUAUCCCAGUCAAACUUUGGGAGAGACUUCUCUGUGCAGGGAAGCAGCAGAACCCUCCGCACUCAGCAGUGGAGUGGCCAAUUAAUGGUGGGAAGAAUUUGGCUCCAGAACCCCUCCAUAAUGAACUACUUUUAACUGGGCAUGAGGAUGGAUCAGUCCGUUUCUGGGAUGCAUCUGGUGUAUCACUGAAAUCUCUUUAUAAACUGACCACAGCAAAUAUUUUCCAGACAGAGGCAGACCACAAUGAAGGGUUUCCACAGUCUGGGGAGGAGGAGUGGCCUCCGUUCCGCAAGGUUGGCUGCUUUGACCCCUACAGUGAUGAUCCCAGACUGGGAAUUCAGAAAAUUUCCCUGUGUAAAUACAGUAGUCAGCUGGUGGUUGCUGGCACAGCAGGACAGGUUCUAGUUAUGGAAUUCAAUGAUGAAAAGUCUGAACAAAAGAUCAGCUUGUCUUCAGUUGACCUUCUUCAGGAUCGAGAGGGUUUCACGUGGAAAGGUCAUGAGAGGUUGAUCCCAAAAAGUGGUCUCGUCAGCUUUGCAUCUGGUUUCCAGCCCAGCUUCCUGGUUCAGUGUAUUCCACCAGCUGCUGUGACAGCAGUGACUCUGCAUACUGAAUGGCAGCUUGUGGCAUUUGGCACCAGUCAUGGUUUUGGUGUCUUUGAUUACUACAGACAGCAGGCAGUAUUAGCCAGGUGCACACUGCAUCCGAAUGACUCUCUGGCAAUGGAGGGCCCACUCUCCCGGGUGAAAUCACUGAAAAAGUCGUUACGUCAGUCAUUCAGGAGGAUACGAAAAAGCAGAGUGUCUGGGAAGAAACGGUUGACUCCUAGCAGCCCUGCCAGCAAGGUCCAGGAAGCAAAUGCCCAACUUGCUGAGCAGGAUUGUCCACGUGAAGUGGAGGUGACUCCAGUACAGAGACGGAUAGAGCCACGGUCUGCUGAUGAUUCUUUGUCAGGUGUUGUCCGCUGCCUUUACUUUGCUGACACCUUUUUGCGAGAUGCCACACACCAUGGUCCAACGAUGUGGGCAGGAACUAAUGCUGGGUCGGUUUAUGCUUAUGCUCUGGAGGUUCCAUCCAGAGAGAAGUGGAUGGAAAAAUCUGCAGAGGCAGUAUUGGGUAAAGAAAUUCAGCUGAUGCACCGAGCCCCUGUGGUAUCAAUUGCAGUAUUGGAUGGACGAGGAAACCCUCUCCCUGAGCCAUUUGAAGUCUCUCGUGAUCUUGCUAAAGCUCCAGAGAUGCAAGGCAGUCAUUCUGUGCUAAUUAUUUCUGAAGAACAGUUCAAGGUGUUUACACUGCCAAGGGUGACUGCUAAGACUAAGUUCAAACUUACUGCCCAUGAAGGUUCUCGAGUGCGGAAAUUGGGGUUAAUGAGUUUCCCAAGUGUGGCCUCAGAUGACUAUUCAGAGAACUGCCUGGUGUGUUUAACGAAUCUGGGAGACAUUCACAUCUUCACAAUCCCUGGGCUGAGACCACAGAUGCGCUAUGAUUGCAUCAGGAAAGAAGACAUCAGUGGCAUUGCUUCGUGUGUUUUCACAAAGACAGGCCAGGGCUUUUACUUGAUAUCUCCAUCUGAGUUUGAACGAUUCUCCCUGUCUGCCAGGAAUAUAACUGAGCCACGUUGUGUUGUGGGGUUGGAAGGUUCAAGAGAUCACUUGAGCCCAGUCACUAGUCCACACAAUAACUUGCAAGGAUCCCCUAAAAUGAGCCAAGCGAAUGGAACUCACAAACUUCAGAGCAAAGAGGAAUGCAAUUCGUUGGGGGCUGCUGAUGGAAUGCUUGAAGAUUUACAACUCCCAUUGUCCCAGACUCCACUUGACUCUCCCAACAGUAGUGCUGAUAUCACUUUGGACACCACUGGUGACCUAACAGUGGAGGAUGUCAAAGAUUAUUUACCCAAUAAAUCACUUGAAGAACCAUAGCACCUGUCAAAGGCUGUGCUGUUUUGGAGUUGUACGAUUUCCAGUUUCCAUCUAAAUGUGGUCAAACAAUUGGCUUGAUGUAUCUUCUAAAGGGAAUGUUAGAAUUUGCGAUCUGAAGACACCUUGUGACCUUAUGUGAUUGGCUUGACAGGGAAUUGAACCAGCAUUCACAGUCCAAGCUUCAUACUGGGAUCAUGGCCAUUGAUGUGGAUAGUUUGAAUUGUCAUAUCUUCAGUGCCAAAAGACAUCUUUUAGAAAGAUCCUUCUCUGAAGCUACAUACCAGCUGCCUCCUGUCUGCCUGCACCGAUACAAAAACUUUUACAACACUAAACAAUAUAAAACUGACUUUCUGAAGUGUGCGUAUCACCUCUUGUACAUUGCUAUUUUUAAUCUCUGCUCUUUGCAUGAAGCAGAAACACAUCUGGGAAACAUUUGUUCAUCUCAAGUUUAUGCUCUUGAUUUUCCCCACUUUUUUCCUGCUUGAGAACCAGUUUCAAACCAUUGCAUAAUUCUCAUUGUUCGCAGGCUCUGAAUUGCAGUCAGAAACAGCUGAGGAUCUUUUGCCUUCCAAGAGCUUUGACUCUGCAUUCUUUGUAGUUUUGUAUAUUAGCCUCAAUGAAGUGGAAAUAAUGGAGCCCUUUUAGAAUUCAAAGGGAGUUGAAUUCUCUCCAUUAAUCAUUGGCUUUUAAAAAUCUUAUUUUUACAGUUGUGGUUUAUUGCUGAUUUUAGGAUUAUGAAAACAGUUGAAGAAAAGAUCUGUGAAUCUCUGAAUUGCUGCACCAUUGAAUUCCUCGUGCAGGGAAUACAGAUUCUGCUUACCUUCCUAUAGCCAGUUGGAUAAUGUGUACUUGCAUUUUGAAGAAGCCCAGGGUAUAUAUCUUCUGAGGAGUUACCUGUCUUUUGCUCAACAUAAUGUGAUAUUGCUCCAAUCAGAAAUUCAAAAAAGGAGUCAGAUCCAACUGUAAGUUUGUGAAUUCUAUUUUAAAUGCUUGAAAUAGUUUGUAAAAUUGACCCUUUAAGUCUGUAGUGUGAAUUACCAUGCACUUGUAUCCUAAGUAACUCAGCUUGAUAACACCUCACUGCAGUAUACAUGCAUUCUGUAACACCAAUUUUGUAUUAUUUUUAAACUUGUUUUUAAUGAAUUGUGCAGUUUUCACCAGUUAAAUUCCAGCAACCAGUUUCUUUCUCCCUUGUGACCACACCCCCACCAUACCUCUCAACACUUGAAUAGAUCUCUCUGGGUUCACAUUAUUCUGUGUUGAUCAAGAAAUUAAAUUGCAGGCAUUUGCUGCUAUAUCUCUUCUGGACAGUUUCUAUAUGAUGCAAGUCUUAAACUUCACAGAUGAAGUUUUUAUCUAAUGAAGAAUCUAGAAUUGUUGGCAAAGUUUGAAUAUUUAAAAUUAUCUGAUCAUGUUGAAGUCUUCCUAGGCAAUUGAGUUUUGUUUCACUGGUUGAGGUGGUUAGACAAGCCAAAUAGGGCAGUGUCUGCUUGCAAUGCAUGUCAAGAACAUGCAUGGAGUUGCAAAGAGCUCUUUGUGAUAGGAUGCUGCAUUGGUAUGAUUUCACUUCACACACAGUCCCUGUAAAUACUGAUAUUAUUUCUAGUGUUCCAAACUGACAGUUUGAACAGGAUGGUAAAAUUUGUAAAUAUGCCUCCUUUAUUGUUGAAGGAUCUCCUGUAAUUUCUACAUGGUUUUGUUCACUAGAUUGUUCAUUUCCUUGUGGAAAGCAAUUAGCAUUUGAUUCUCUUCCCAUUGGUCUUUUACAUUUGGAGGCUACUUUGCUAUGGACAUGACCGACCCUAUGAAAACUUUUUU